GCCCCCGUGGUUCAAGCGGAUAGAACACAAACCUCCUAAGUUUGCUAUCCCGGUUCGAGUCCGGGCGGGGGUA
rnacentral:tRNA from 1 species